rnacentral:rRNA from 1 species
AGAACGAACGCUGGCGGCAUGCCUAAUACAUGCAAGUCGAACGAACUCUUCGGAGUUAGUGGCGCACGGGUGCGUAACGCGUGGGAAUCUGCCCCUUGGUUCGGAAUAACAGUUGGAAACGACUGCUAAUACCGGAUGAUGACGAAAGUCCAAAGAUUUAUCGCCAAGGGAUGAGCCCGCGUAGGAUUAGCUAGUUGGUGAGGUAAAGGCUCACCAAGGCAACGAUCCUUAGCUGGUCUGAGAGGAUGAUCAGCCACACUGGGACUGAGACACGGCCCAGACUCCUACGGGAGCAGCAGUAGGGAAUAUUGGACAAUGGGCGAAAGCCUGAUCCAGCAAUGCCGCGUGAGUGAUGAAGCCUUAGGUUGUAAAGCUCUUUUACCCGAGAUGAUAAUGACAGUAUCGGAGAAUAAGCCCGGCUAACUCCGACGCCAGCAGCCGC